CGGACGGGUGAGUAACGCGUGAGAAUCUGCCAUCAGGUCUGGGACAACCACUGGAAACGGUGGCUAAUACCGGAUGUGCCCGUAAUUGGGUGAAAGGUUAACUGCCUGUUGAUGAGCUCGCGUCUGAUUAGCUAGUUGGAAGUGUAAUGGACUCCCAAGGCGACGAUCAGUAGCUGGUCUGAGAGGACGAUCAGCCACACUGGGACUGAGACACGGCCCAGACUCCUACGGGAGGCAGCAGUGGGGAAUUUUCCGCAAUGGGCGUAAGCCUGACGGAGCAAUACCGCGUGAGGGAGGAAGGCUCUUGGGUCGUAAACCUCUUUUCUCAGGGAAGAACACAAUGACGGUACCUGAGGAAUAAGCAUCGGCUAACUCCGUGCCAGCAGCCGCGGUAAUACGGAGGAUGCAAGCGUUAUCCGGAAUGAUUGGGCGUAAAGCGUCCGCAGGUGGCAAUGUAAGUCUGCUGUUAAAGAGUCUAGCUCAACUAGAUAAGAGCAGUGGAAACUACAUAGCUAGAGUACGUUCGGGGCAGAGGGAAUUCCUGGUGUAGCGGUGAAAUGCGUAGAGAUCAGGAAGAACACCAGUGGCGAAGGCGCUCUGCUAGGCCGUAACUGACACUGAGGGACGAAAGCUAGGGGAGCGAAUGGGAUUAGAUACCCCAGUAGUC
rnacentral:rRNA from 1 species